CCACCUUCGGGUGGUGGAAAGUGGCAGACGGGUGAGUAACGCGUGGGAACGUGCCUUUCGGUUCGGAAUAACCCAGGGAAACUUGGGCUAAUACCGGAUACGCCCUUCGGGGGAAAGAUUCAUCGCCGAAAGAUCGGCCCGCGUCGGAUUAGCUAGUUGGUAGGGUAAUGGCCUACCAAGGCGACGAUCCGUAGCUGGUCUGAGAGGAUGACCAGCCACACUGGGACUGAGACACGGCCCAGACUCCUACGGGAGGCAGCAGUGGGGAAUAUUGGACAAUGGGCGAAAGCCUGAUCCAGCCAUGCCGCGUGGGUGAAGAAGGCCUUAGGGUUGUAAACCCCUUUCAGCGGGGAAGAUAAUGACGGUACCCGCAGAAGAAGCCCCGGCUAACUCCGUGCCAGCAGCCGCGGUAAUACGGAGGGGGCUAGCGUUGUUCGGAAUUACUGGGCGUAAAGCGCGCGUAGGCGGACCUGCAAGUCGGGGGUGAAAGCCCGAGGCUCAACCUCGGAACUGCCUUCGAUACUGCGGGUCUCGAGUCCGGGAGAGGUGAGUGGAAUUCCUAGUGUAGAGGUGAAAUUCGUAGAUAUUAGGAAGAACACCAGUGGCGAAGGCGGCUCACUGGCCCGGUACUGACGCUGAGGCGCGAAAGCGUGGGGAGCAGACAGGAUUAGAUACCCUGGUAGUCCACGCCGUAAACUAUGGGUGCUAGCCGUCGGUCGGCAUGCCGGUCGGUGGCGCAGCAAACGCAUUAAGCACCCCGCCUGGGGAGUACGGUCGCAAGAUUAAAACUCAAAGGAAUUGAC
rnacentral:rRNA from 1 species